UCCUUGCUUCGACUUCUCGUCUUCCCUCCUCUUCUUUUUUGUUGGUCUUCUUGCUCUCCUGUUGCUCUUUUUACUGGAAAAUGGCGAUCUCGGUAUCAGAUCGGAGCGACCGAUUGGAUUCGUGUUCGUGGAUUGCCUUGUAUGGAUACGUGUUGAUAACUCCGUACGAUUUUAGAGUGGAAGGGCAUGGGUAGAUGAUUCGGAAAGCUAGGGUUUUUGUUUUUCGAUCUGACCCUUUUCUUUCGAACAGAAGAAUUGACUGGCUUUCGUCUUUUAGAUGAUAGGGAACGAUUGGCGUGUUUUUUUUUUAAUAUUAUUAUUGAUUUUGUUGUGCUUAGUUAGCUGAUGAUUCGAUUGGGACAAAAGUAUGAUUCUUUGGAAGAAUUUGAUGGUGAUAACGAUAGGAAAUCAUGUGUCCUUUUGAAAGAUUUGGUUCCAAGUUCCACUUGGAUGGAGGUAUCCCUCUUGAUGGUCUUAUUUUGUAUAGAUGAACUUGAGGGGAUAACACAACCUUCAUGGAUAUGCUGAUGCUAUCUUAGUUAGGCAUCUGUUUUUAUUGGGUCCUUAUGUAUGCAUUUGUAUGCAAAUAACAUUCCCUUUGUGUCCGACACCAUUUGUUAGGUGCACUUAGGAUUUUUUUUUUUUUCAUGGAACUUUUUGCUCCUUAUUCUUCACUUUAUCACCUGAUUCUUGCACUGAUGCUAAUUUGUAAUAGGGCGUGCCUCAGAAUUUGUAGGAGAUGUACUGCACUACGGCUACCAUGAAGCAUAGUUCUGGCACUUUAAAUUAGCAUUUUGUUGUCAGCAAGCAAUUUCUGGUCACGAAGUUGGUGGGCUAUACGUGUCCUGACUUUUUUGGGGAUGAAGGCUUUCUUUCCUUCCAACUCAGAUAUUUGAGUGCAUGGCUUUGCAGACCACAAACUCCUCAUUGCAGGGGUUAAAAUUGAAUUACAUCAGGAUUUUUUUUCUAACUUUUUUGCGUAAUGCAUGAUCAGCUUUUGAUGUUAAAAGUGCUAUCAUGCCAUUCAUAUGGUAUUUGUUGAUUGACUUUGUUUUUGUUGCUGUAA